AAUAUGACUUGACAUUAUGUAUGAGCCCAGGACUGAACAAAAGAAUGAGACAUACUCAGUGGCUCGCCUCAUCUGCCUCACUCCACAGCACUCAGUGGUCCAUGGCCAUCAACCUGCAUGGAUACGUGAAUGGAUACCUACAUAAUUAAUCAUCAAGAAAAAAAAGUUUCCUUUUUUUCUCUCCAAUCUUUGUGACUUUCACGUGUACUUCUUGCCUGACUGCAUAUACUGAGUACGAAGCUGAAUAGCAAGAUAAAGAGUGACAUAAUACAUUUUCUCUUCUGCUGUGCUUGACCAACAUACUCCGUAUGUACGUCACGGACAUAAGAAUCUUGGCCCCCGUGAAAUUUGUCCUUUGAUGUUGUGUCUGUGGAU